CCCAGUGCCUGCAAGUCAGAGGGCACUGGGUCUCACUGACGAGUUGUGAAGAAUCGAGUUGGGGCUGCGGGGCUUCCCGUGAGCCUAACCCCUGUCUCUUGUCUGUUUCCGCUGUGUGCUGAAUAGGGAAGGCCUUCCUGCAGCCAUCUGCUAACGCUGCUGCCUGGCAUUCGACCUUGUCUCCUGUCUCCCUGCCCUUGUGCAGGUGAAGAGCCGGGGGGCGCGGAGUACCGGAAGGCUGUUGCUUUUCAAGAUGCAGGGCAGGGACUGCAGCAGGGGCGGGACAGCGCUGUCUCACUCUGGGCCUCUGCCCCCAUGUCACCACUGUGGCGAGGUCACUUUGUGGAAUUGGUUAGCCAGGCGUUAGCUUAAGAAACCCGGUGGUGCAGAGCAGACGAACCUCCGUUCUGCCCACGCGUCCGGUGGGAGAAGUAGAGGUGGAAGGAGGGACGACGCUUUGUCCCCAUCAGCAGAAGGAUGAGACUUGACGCUUUUACAGCUCAGAGGAAGAGGCACCCUGGCGGGUGGGGUGCGAUGGUGGGAGCAGGCCCUACGUCCGCCAAGUAAGGCGACCGGUGUCGGCCGCGGCUCCCAACAAGGGGGGAAGGAUGUAUUCCAGGUGGACAUCCCGGAGCACCUGAUCCCUCUGGGGCCGGAGCUGUGACUCUUGGGGGCUGCAGGCAGGAGCAUCACUGAGAGGCCAACUGAAGCAGACCAAGCUUCCUUCAUGAUGGUGCAGACCUGGGAAAUCAUCAUGAAUCGCCCCUGCCCUGGGUGGUGCUGCCCGCUCAGGACUGUUCUUGGGCACAGACUUCUUUCCCCAGGUGAAGAGAGUCUCGGCCAGGACCUGCCUUCAGGGUGUCUCUUGGGCUCAAGGACAGAGUGUCAAGUACCUGACUUUCACACGCAGGAGGGUCUUCUCGUUUCCACUGACUUUGGUGUGCUGCUUUGCAGACUGUACAAAUAAAUGUGUCCGUGAUCAUC